rnacentral:rRNA from 1 species
UACGGGGGGGGUAAGCGUUGUUCGGAAUUACUGGGCGUAAAGCGCACGUAGGCGGGUCGUUAAGUCAGGGGUGAAAUCCCGGAGCUCAACUCCGGAACUGCCUUUGAUACUGGCGACCUUGAGGCUGGAAGAGGUUAGUGGAAUUCCCAGUGUAGAGGUGAAAUUCGUAGAUAUUGGGAAGAACACCAGUGGCGAAGGCGGCUAACUGGUCCAGAUCUGACGCUGAGGUGCGAAAGCGUGGGGAGCAAACAGG